UAGGAUGUGGUGUAAUGGAAGCACAAAGAGUUUUGAGUUCUUCAGUAUAGGUUCGAAUCCUGUUAUUCUAG
rnacentral:tRNA from 1 species